AGAUUCCAAGGUAACAAAGAGAAAUAAAACUUGCCUGAUUAGAAAGUCUUUAAGUAAUUUUGUUGAUAUUGCCAAGUCUGCCACAUUCUGAGAGCAAGGGAUUGAUCCUUUCUACCAUGUUUUUAAAGAAAUCAUAGGGGGAAAAAUGCCCUCACCCAUCAAAGCAUUUUACAACUCUUUUUCCAAGGUCAGCCUUCUGUUACUACUAUGACCUCCUUAGACAUUAACAGGGGAGCCUUGAGACUGCCACUGUGAACUUUGCCCCUGUUGAGAAAUGCUUGUCUUAUGAUGUCCCUUCUGAUAUUCUCCGUGGGGACACUCAGCAUCUUGCAUCAUUCGGCCGGACAGUUUGGAGUAGAAUCCUCUCCUAGGUUUAAGAGCAAAAGACCAAACAGAUGCUCAGCAUUCCAUAAAACCUACAUGGCCACUAGGAGAAAGGCAAAGCUUUCUAGAACAAUGUAGGCAGUCAGCAGUAUGUUCCCAGCUGGCUCUCAAUAAAUAAUGGCCAGUGGGAUCAUAAGACAGCGUCAAUAGGGGAAAAAUAAAGGGCUCAGUGGAGAACAUCUGACUCCAAACUUCUGUGAUGGGAGUAUGAUGGCUGGACAUGGAAGGCAUGACCAAAUCAAUGAGGCUCUUGUAGGCUAGGCUGUGGGGUCUGAAAGUCUUCCCAUAGUUAGUGGGAAAAUGUUGAAAGAUUGAACCAUGUGUAUACUCUAUUGUUGCCAGAGAAAUCACUCUUGCAGCAGUAGGGUAGGUAAAUGGGAAGGGACCAUAGAAGAGGAGAGUUGGAUAAACUAAGGGGCCAUUGUUGUGUCACAGUGGGAAAGGAUGAGGUUCUGAACUCAGAAACAGUGGGCUGGUAGAGAAGGAGACACAUUUGUGCAAUAUUUAGGAAGCAAAAUUGUAGAGCAGGAAUGGAUCUGAAGUCAAUGAAAAACUCUUCAUAGCUCUAGUUGUUGGGCUUCCCCAGAAGAUGACAUUGAAAGGAAGGUUUGGAUGCAAGUUGUUCAUUUAGGAGGAGAUCUCAGGAAGCACAAAGUAUUUCCUUGAGUCAGGACCUCCAAGUCCUCCCCUAACUCCAGGUAUGCUGGGUGCUGGAGAGAGCCCUGGACUUGGAGUCAAAAGACUGCAGUUGGAGCAGAGGAUCUUCCCUCAGAAGUUCUGCUGUGGGCUGAGUCGUUUCACCUCUCUGGGCCCCAGAUGGACCUUUGUAAAACUGAGUGGAGGCGAGGAGGUGCAGCAGGUCCAUAAAUUCAUCAGCUUCCCAGGCUGCUUCCACCUUUGCUACAUGUGGCCUCAUCCUUACAGCCCAAGAUGGCUCCUAGGGCUCUAGCCAUCACAUGCUGGUACCAGAGAGCAAGAUGACUGAAGGGGAGGAAAGAGAGCAUGUGCUUGUCUCGUGAAGAGAUUUCCUGGAAGUUACACAAAACAUUUCUGUUUUCAGCUUGUUGACUAGAACAUAGUCGUCUGUCAUACUUAGUGUGGAGGGUGACCAAAGAGGGAGUGUUUUGUCUGAAUAGCAUUGCAUCCAGCCAGAUAGCGAGGGCAAGUAGCUGGAGGGAAGAGGAAGACAGACAUUGUAGAGGAAGCUAGCAGUGACUCCCCCCCAGAUUAUAUCCUAUUAAUAAAAGUAAGAACCUAAUUUAUGCCAUGUGCCUGGGCCUCACAGGGCCAUCACACCUCCAUGAAACAAAGUGCUUGGCCUCACUCUGGUUUGCUUUUGUCAUCUCUGAAACAAGGAGGUUUUACUUCCCCAUGUUUCCCAAAUGUCCAUCAUUCAAAUAAUGCUUCUGCUGUGUAGCCAUGUCUACAGCUGUGGUCAAUGCUCCUCAUCAAGGCCGCUGUCUGUGUACCACUCGUGAUUUAAUCAGUCCGUUUUCUUCCAGGGGACUCUCCCUUUAAGCUUCUCUCUCUCUCUCU
rnacentral:lncRNA from 1 species